CAGUAGCCGCGGUAAUACGGAGGGUGCAAGCGUUAAUCGGAAUUACUGGGCGUAAAGCGCACGCAGGCGGUCUGACAAGUCAGAUGUGAAAUCCCCGGGCUUAACCUGGGAACUGCAUUUGAAACUGUCAGGCUGGAGUCUUGUAGAGGGGGGUAGAAUUCCAGGUGUAGCGGUGAAAUGCGUAGAGAUCUGGAGGAAUACUGGUGGCGAAGGCGGCCCCCUGGACAAAGACUGACGCUCAGGUGCGAAAGCGUGGGGAGCAAACAGGAUUAGAGACCCCAGUAGUCCCUGUCUCUUAUAC
rnacentral:rRNA from 1 species